UGGGGAAUAUUGCACAAUGGGCGCAAGCCUGAUGCAGCCAUGCCGCGUGUGUGAAGAAGGCCUUCGGGUUGUAAAGCACUUUCAGCGAGGAGGAAGGGUAGUGUGUUAAUAGCACAUUGCAUUGACGUUACUCGCAGAAGAAGCACCGGCUAACUCCGUGCCAGCAGCCGCGGUAAUACGGAGGGUGCAAGCGUUAAUCGGAAUUACUGGGCGUAAAGCGCACGCAGGCGGUUUGGUAAGUCAGAUGUGAAAUCCCCGCGCUUAACGUGGGAACUGCAUUUGAAACUGGCAAGCUAGAGUCUUGUAGAGGGGGGUAGAAUUCCAGGUGUAGCGGUGAAAUGCGUAGAGAUCUGGAGGAAUACCGGUGGCGAAGGCGGCCCCCUGGACAAAGACUGACGCUCAGGUGCGAAAGCGUGGGGAGCAAACA
rnacentral:rRNA from 1 species